UUGGAUGUUAUGGUCAAUUGGAUUUUACGCCCCUUUGCAUUGGUGAUCGCUUGAAAAUGGUCUACAAACAGUGUAUGGAGGAUUCGGGGAUAUCAAAAGCCGACCUGUCCGAUUUUAUUGAUCAAAAACCGGCACAAAAUGAGAAAGCGAAAUGUUUUCGAGCCUGUGUUCU